UCGCCUUGAGGUGUAAAAUCAUUAAGGCAUAGCCUAAAAAAUAUGGGUUUAUGGGUAUUUUAAUGGGGGUAAAUAUGUAAAAAGAUGAAAAAGCCUUGAGGAAAAGGGACUUAGGGUGGGAGCCGAACAUAUUGGGGGUUUUCUAUCUUUUUUUCUUCUUAGUUUGAACUAAGUGAAAACUACAAAAGACAUGCUCUCCUCACUCCUCAAAGGCUCAAACUCCAUUAAAAUGACGAUCAAGAGCUUUCAAAGAGUUAAGUAGAAUUUUGACUACUUCUCCGCUUUUCUCAACAAGACUUUCCCCCGUAGUGUAGCAUUUGCAUUGGAUAGUAGGAAGGCCAAACAAACAGCUUCAGAGAAAACUCCCCUCUCACUCCCCAGUGUAGCACCAACAUUCCGUUCUAGAACUGCCUCGAACUCGAUUCAAGAACGCAGGAUGAGAACUGCAUGGUAAUUGCCAGCAUGUUCGACUCAGGAAAGCUCCAUACCAGCGUUAUUCGUUUGAGAAAGCUUCGUACCAGGCGUGAAUCGACCGAUUGAGAGAGGGGAAAGUUUGUUUCUAAUGAUCGCAAAGAAGACGCCGAGAUUCCACACGAGCUCAGGGACUCUAGAGAAAGUUGUAAAGCAUCGUUCCACCGAGGGAAGAGUUGUUACCAAAGAUCGUAGGUUUGUGGCUUUGAGUUUCCAUCCAGCCAAGGCAUGUUCACUGUUGAAAGCUAAAGCUCGGGUAUUUACAGUGGAUCUCCCUUGCUUGGUUCUGGCAAUAUCUAUUUGGAAGGAAAUUGUUUAUACUUGGAUUUUGUAUUUGCAAGGGAGGUCUACCUCAGGUUUACAAUGAGCUGAUGCUGAUCUCCAGUGCUGAACCCUGCUAUGCAGAUAGCACACUGUUGUAAUCCACAGCAAGGCCCACCUUGUUUAUAUGGUUGCAUUGCAGGUCCAUUGGAUAUUCUGGCAAUUGAUUCCACAUUAGAUUAAGUGAUGCCCUGUCUGCUUAGACCAAGAUAUAUAUUAUUAUCUCUAAUGUGGAGAGUUGAUCAAAGCAUUGGACUAUUUGUGUGAUGGUUGUUCUAUGAAGGGUCCAUCUGUUGCAAGUUUGCAACAUCAGUGAUUAGUAAAACAUCAAAAUAGGAGUGGAACAUCCAAAACCUUACUUCUGAGCACUAUGAUGACAGUGUAUAGCUACUUGUGCUUUUAGAAAGGGAAUGCUAACCCCACAACCAGACCUAGUUGUAGAAUUCUCUUCCACUCCAAUGCAAAACAGAUGAACUACAUUUUAACUGGCUGGUUGAACCCAGAGAGAAAAUAGAAUGGCAUGAGUUACAAGAUAUGCUGGCCUUGUGGAGGCGGGGAUGGACUCAUGAAAAGUGAGAUAAAGUGCACAUUACUAGCUAGCAUGCACCCGUGUUUUGUGAGCUGUAUAAAAGUUCAGAAAGAACUAUAGGUUCUUUCUGCUGUUGCUACUGACUGCUGAGUGUGGAUUCUACCCAAAGUGCAUUGUGGAGUGGUUGAAGUGUCUGCUUGUGGCUGCCUUAUUUUAAACGAAAAAGUAUAUGUCACCUUGUCUGUAUCCCACCUGAGCUCGGUUCCCAGUUUCUGCUUUUUGCCCAAUUCCGCCUUUUGUCCAGUGGUCAUAUUGUUCAUUGAUCGUAUAACUGUUGAUCUCUUGUAAAUACAUGCAUGGUAAUGGUUUGUAAUUGUAUUUUGUUUAUGAAAAACAAUGUACACAUCUACUGUGCAAGGUGGAGCAUGGAAAUGGCAUCAUCUUUUAUUCUGUAUCUACUUGAAACUAUGCCAUCUCAAAAGCCCUUUUGGCAGGGUUACCAUUAUUGCCUUGAAUAA